rnacentral:lncRNA from 1 species
GGGCACGGUGCAGCGCCGCCUCCCGUUCGCCUCUGCGCCUGGCCCGGCGACUGCGGGCGCUGCGGUCCACUGGGUCCGCCUCUUCCCGGCAUGGGUUUCUGCCCAGCUCACCCGCUGUCAGCUGGGGUCCUGCUCUGGUGGGAGGAAGAGGCUCAGACGCUUCCCUGCCCUCUCGCCUCAACCACCUCGAGGCAGCGGCUCCCAGGAUGUGCACUUUGACGACUAAAGCUGAGCCGGCGCCGCCACGACCUUGGGCGGGUGGUCGGCCUCUGCCCUGAGCAGGAAGUAGAAAGUCUCAGCAGACCCUUCCUGAGGGCCGAGCAACAGUGUAGUGGCGUAUUCCACAUAGCAAACAGGGACCCUGGGAGCAUCUGUGUUCUCGUGUUCUUCUUGCCUGUGAGGCCUCUUCUCUCUGAGGACAGAUGGUAGGACAGAGAGAAGACAGCAAAUGGAAAACAAAGGCUGCUAUUUUUUUGUGGGAGAAAAAGUCAUGUGAUGACACACCAAGAAGGUGGCUGUCUGCAAGCCAGGAAGAGAGGCCUUACCAGAAACCAAUCCUGGUGCACCUUAAUCUCAAACUUGAGCCUCCAGGACUGUACGAAAAUAAAUAUUUGUUGUGUAAGCACCCCCAGUGUAUGCUAUUCUGUUAUGGCAGCCCUAGCACACUAAUAUAAAUGCCUACUGCCUGCAAAGUGCUUUGCCUUUGAGGGUUGCAAAAGAGGAUCCCCUCCAGGGAUCCAUGGUCUCAUUGGGAUUUUCCUGUUUGGUCUGUGUCCUGUUCUUGAGUCUCCGCAGGCAGCAUUUCUUCCUGUGACAAUAUGGUGUAAGACAAAAUUGUGGCCUGCCAUGAAGUUGUGAGAGAAAAGCAUCCCUCAUUUCUUCAGGAAAGGCCACUGCCGUUCCCUCCGGCUCCUCUUCUCAGGAGUUUGUGCAUUCAUGAGGUGAAUUCCUUGGAAGAUGAGGGCCAAGUCUUAUUCUUCUCAGUCUCUUCUGCAUCUAGCAGAAGAAUAAUGGUUGCACAGAAAAUCUUGGUUCAGUGGUUGAGUGAAUGAAUGGAUGAACAGGCUCUUGCACACAAAGAAGAGACAUGAUGUAUUUGCAUCCUUCCCUGCUUCAGCCAGUUUUCUGAAGCUCAGAGGGACACCUUGUAUUGCUGGAUGAUAAAAACAGGAGCAAAGUGAUGAAGUGCUGACAAGGCAACAAUAGAACAUGAGAGAUUCACUGCUGUGUAGGAAGAGAUCUUCGGUGACCAUGUAGCCUGAAGCUCUCAUUUUGUCAUCGAGGGACACCAAAACUCAGAACAGUGCUAAGCUCCUACAUCCUGUUCUGGAAGGACAAUCCUGAGCACACGAUGAGCCAUAUAAACUUCAGACUGACGCUGAGUGAAAGAAUGCUGGAAAAGCAUCACAGGCCAGGGCAGCAAAGUCUUCAAGGUCAUCCGUGCUCUGAUGAUGUCACGCUUCUUCCCUGUCUGGAAGACAUUUCCCCAAGAGCAUACCACCAACAUCAGGGAAAUGGAAUCCAACUGGUCGCUGCAAAGUUUGCUGAGCACACAGUGAUAAAGAUGGCAAGAAGGUCCUGAGAGAAACGCAAUAUUUUUGUGCAGAAUGGGAUGUUCUGCCUUUGUCCCAUGCUUUGAAAUUUACCACAUGAAAAAUAAAAUUAAAUACUGAUCAUCA